GGCCUGAUGGUCUAGUGGUAUGAUUGUCGCUUCGGGUGCUCUUGCCCGGAUACACGGUAUCUGUGAUUGUGACAGGCCCCGGGUUCGAAUCCCGGUCAGGCCC